UCUCCGUUGGUGAUCCAGCGGAGGGAUCAUUAUCGAGUUUAUAACUCCCAAACCCUAUGUGAACUUACCACUUGUUGCUUCGGCGCGCGCUUCGGUGCCGCCGAGGACACUUAAACUCUUUGUUUUUAUAAGCAUUUCUGAGUGACCGAAAGGCAAAAUACAAAUGAAUCAAAACUUUCAACAACGGAUCUCUUGGUUCUG
rnacentral:misc_RNA from 1 species